GGUGAGUUUCAGACUGAAAACUGAUACAAAUCUCUUUGAGAUUGCAAAGUGCAAGACAUCUGUGUCUGCAAUUGAGUAUCAUUUCAUUGUGGAAUGGGAGUGGGACUCAUGCAAAUGAAUAGGGAUCCUGGUAGCAAACAUGUCAAUGUGGUAGGUACACUUGUGGGAUACUGAGCAAGAAAGCUGGUGGUUGAACCAAAAAUCAGGCCAAUCUACUUAUUAGAUCGCAGGGUGUAUGGUUGCUCUACUGGUAGUGGCUUCUACUCUGCUGGCAGCAGUGGCCAUUCUACUUUGUGAUUUUGACCAUAUCAAUAAGUUUUGGUACUACACAGGGAAAGCCCAAUUUUGUUCCAUUUAAUGAGGAAUUGAUGAAAUCGACUCAAGGAAUUUCAUAUGUCCUAUGCUUUCAGAAACAGAAUUGGGGGUGUUAUAUUGGCACUUGAAUCCAAAAGAUUAUGACAAUGAUGAGGAGCAGCAGAAAAUCCAAGAGAGCAGGGGCUAUAAUUAU